CCUACGGGCGGCAGCAGUGGGGAAUAUUGCACAAUGGGGGGAACCCUGAUGCAGCGACGCCGCGUGAGCGAGGAAGUAUUUCGGUAUGUAAAGCUCUAUCAGCAGGGACGAAAAAAGACGGUACCUGACUAAGAAGCCCCGGCUAACUACGUGCCAGCAGCCGCGGUAAUACGUAGGGGGCAAGCGUUAUCCGGAUUUACUGGGUUUAAAGGGUGCGCAGGCGGAGGUGAAAGUCAGCGGUAAAAUUGCGGGGCUCAACACCGUACUGCCGUUGAAACUGCAUCCCUUGAGUGCGCGAGAAGUAUGCGGAAUGCGUGGGGUAGCGGUGAAAUGCAUAGAUAUCACGCAGAACUCCGAUUGCGAAGGCAGCAUACCGGCGCGCAACUGACGCUCAUGCACGAAAGCGUGGGUAUCGAACAGGAUUAGAUACCCUAGUAGUC
rnacentral:rRNA from 1 species